CCUACGGGGGGCUGCAGUGGGGGAUAUUGCACAAUGGGGGGAACCCUGAUGCAGCGACGCCGCGUGGGUGAAGGAGCGUUUCGGCGCGUAAAGCCCUAUCGGCAGGGAAGAAGGAGGACGGUACCUGACUUAGAAGCCCCGGCUAACUACGUGCCCGCCGCCGCGGUCAUACGCAGGGGGCAAGCGUGAUCCGGAUUUACUGGGUGUAAAGGGGGCGCAGGGGGUGGCGCAAGCCAGGAGUGAAAGCCCGGGGCCCAACCCCGGUACUGCUCUUGAAACUGCGCGGCUGGAGUGCAGGAGGGGCAGGCGGAAUGCCUGGUGUAGCGGUGAAAUGCGUAGAUAUCAGGAGGAACACCGGUGGCGAAGGCGGCCUGCUGGACUGCGACUGACGUUGAGGCCCGAAAGCGUGGGGAGCAAACAGGAUUAGAUACCCGUGUAGUC
rnacentral:rRNA from 1 species